GAUGAACGCUGGCGGCGUGCCUAAUACAUGCAAGUCGAGCGAACAGACGAGGAGCUUGCUCCUCUGACGUUAGCGGCGGACGGGUGAGUAACACGUGGAUAACCUACCUAUAAGACUGGGAUAACUUCGGGAAACCGGAGCUAAUACCGGAUAAUAUAUUGAACCGCAUGGUUCAAUAGUGAAAGACGGUUUUGCUGUCACUUAUAGAUGGAUCCGCGCCGCAUUAGCUAGUUGGUAAGGUAACGGCUUACCAAGGCAAAGAUGCGUAGCCGACCUGAGAGGGUGAUCGGCCACACUGGAACUGAGAUACGGUCCAGACUCCUACGGGAGGCAGCAGUAGGGAAUCUGCCGCAAUGGGCGAAAGCCUGACGGAGCAACGCCGCGUGAGUGAUGAAGGUCUUCGGAUCGUAAAACUCUGUUAUUAGGGAAGAACAAAUGUGUAAGUAACUAUGCACGUCUUGACGGUACCUAAUCAGAAAGCCACGGCUAACUACGUG
rnacentral:rRNA from 1 species